rnacentral:lncRNA from 1 species
CUGCGAAUCACUCAUCAUUUGGAGAAACCAACACCACCAUUGCACUCCCCUCAUCGUCCGCAACAAAACCCCUCAACCAAUUUGUCGUUCCGCUGCCCUUCGCCGUGAGCCGCCGCCGGAGGCGAUUUCCGGCGAGCCCACCGACCUGCAACUGCGUCUCUCACGAUUUCCCUUUCUCUCUCUUUCUCAAGUGUGGUCAGGGUUUGAUAAUAAUAUCUAAAGGUAGAGAGGGUGAAGGUUGAGCCGCCGCCGGAGGCGAUUUCCGGCGAGCCCACCGACCUGCAACUGCGUCUCUCACGAUUUCCCUUUCUCUCUCUUUCUCAAGUGUGGUCAGGGUUUGAUAAUAAUAUCUAAAGGUAGAGAGGGUGAAGGUUGUGGGUU